rnacentral:rRNA from 1 species
GAUGAACGCUGGCGGCGUGCCUAAUACAUGCAAGUCGAGCGAACGGACGAGAAGCUUGCUUCUCUGAUGUUAGCGGCGGACGGGUGAGUAACACGUGGAUAACCUACCUAUAAGACUGGGAUAACUUCGGGAAACCGGAGCUAAUACCGGAUGAUAUUUUGAACCGCAUGGUUCAAAAGUGAAAGACGGUCUUGCUGUCACUUAUAGAUGGAUCCGCGCUGCAUUAGCUAGUUGGUAAGGUAACGGCUUACCAAGGCAACGAUGCAUAGCCGACCUGAGAGGGUGAUCGGCCACACUGGAACUGAGACACGGUCCAGCCUCCUACGGGAGGCAGCAGUAGGGAUUCUUCCGCAAUGGGCGAACGCCUGACGGAGCAACGCCGCGUGAGUGAUGAAGGUCUUCGGAUCGUAAAACUCUGUUAUUAGGGAAGAACAUAUGUGUAAGUAACUGUGCACAUCUUGACGGUACCUAAUCCGACAGCCACGGCUAACUACGUG